rnacentral:lncRNA from 1 species
GAUACACCGUCUUGGAUGACGCACUUCUCUUGGGUUCCAGAACAAUCAGAUAUUUCUCGCGACAGGCUUCUAGGGAGGAGACGUUACUGUUUAAAUCAGUGAAAAUUAGUAGACCAUAAAUCAAACUCAGCUUAGCAUCCCCAGCUUCUCCAGCGAUGCGUCUUUCUUGGAAAAUCCAAUGACACAUCACCCGGGGAAACUCCACUACGUCGGACUUUGGAGAGUGCAUCCGCCACACCCAAACAAUCCGGCCAUGAUUCUUAAAGUGGCCUUCCCUUCCGAAUAUUCUUGUAACGAGUUUUGCAAUGGUUUUAGCUCGUACCAGCGGAGAUUUGUGCUGCCGUGUGGAUAGAGGAGCUUGAUCAUGUCACGCAACAGAAUGGUUUCUAUCGGGAAAAUCCAGAAGCAGCUUUCGACUUGGUACUCUGAAAGUCGAUACAAGCAUUCUCUGUUUUCUUUACUUUCUUUAAAUCCAGGCUUUGCAAAGUGUGUCGAGUUCCAGCUAGUUUUGGAGCCUACAAGAGGAAACGAGCAAGAAAACUGUUGCAUAGGGUUCGGAGGAAAAGGAUCGUUGGAGAAUUUGAUUUUCUCUCUAAAGUGGAAGCAACUCAGGUAAUAUAUAGUAAGAUCAAAUAAUUCUCGAAAAUAUUGUUGGUGGUGAUUGUGGAUCAUCAUCACCACCAUUAAUGAUGGCGAAGAAUGGCGGACCAUGGGGGAGUGAUGUAAGUUCAGUCCCAUGCUCCUCAGUCGGACACACAUGAUUAUGACAGUGAAAAAGUGGUUCAUUUAUACACUUCUUACAUGGAUUUUUUCUUCUUCUUUUUGCCUUCGUACAAUUACAGAUUGCAAGCUGGCCUAAAAUUUCCACUAAUGAUUUCAUGUAUCUAAUCUCAAAAUAUGGUGUCAAAGUUGGUGUAACCAACAAGGUUGAUGGCAUUCAGACUAUUACAUCGUGGAGGCAGCUAAUACCCAUUCAAUCAAGGGAAAAUCUAUGGUUGGGAAAUUUUUAAUGCGAAUGGAAGUCAGAGUGCAAAGAAUGCCAAUAGCAACAGCUAAAGCCCCGUAUAGAAUGGAUGAAGAACAGCCAUGGCUCAGAAACUAUUCACGUUUGUAGUACUUCUCCAAGACUGGGCCCAAGAACACAUGACCUGAGCAAGGUCCCCAAUUUGAAGAUCACCUGAAUACUUAGGUGGAGAAGUACUACAAGCGUGAAUAGUACCUGAGCCAUGGCUGUCAGCAAGUUGUAAAAUUGUCACAGUGUUGUGUACAAUUGGAUGCUAUUUUUGUUGGUGAGGCAUCUUGUUUUAGAUCUUAAGGCCCAACUAAGAAUCCAAGUACAAACUUUGUUUUCAUAACAAAUUUGAUUCUCAAAUUUCAAGAUUAUGUUUGACUAAAUCAGAUUGUAUCAGAGUAAAUUUAAAUUCAAAAGUCGACAAAAAAGUCAUCGAAACUUUUGAAAAUUCAUUCCUUGGAGGAAGGCCAAAACUUUGGGUAAUUUGGUCAGAGUAUGAAGGUGUACUUCAGGGCUAGUCUAUAUGCAUUUCCAUUAAUCAUGGUCGUCAUUGCAUUUGCUGCCAAAAAGUGUGGGAGUAGUUACCAUUAUUAUUACCUUUCUUUUACCAGGUUAUGCUAGACUAGUUAAUAUAGAGGUUAGAAGAUUGACUUUGAUAAAAGUUCCAAUUAAAUUUUCAUAUUACCAAGUUAUACAGAUGAGGCCAUUGUAACAACUCAAGACUGAGAAUCAUAUACUAUGGCUAGCAUUUUUAUUACCAGCUUUAUUAUAAAUUCCAAGAACUUUGUGAUAUGUGCCAUUACAUAAAGUUGUUAGCCCCUCUAGACCAAUAUAGAUUUACCUUUGCAUGGUAACUUUAGAACUUCAAAAUAAGUAGAAAUUAUAAAUUACAUAAAUUUUGCAAAAAUAAUUCUAAACUGGUGUUUAAUAUUUCUUUAUUAAAAUUUUAUCACACCCCUUUUGAUCCCAUUCAUAUUCCACCACCACUUUCUCCAUAAGUCAGCACUAGUGAGUAGAAGUUUGAGCUUGCUAUUAUACUUGACUUGACAAACUUUAGAUGUUUUAUUAGUGAUUGUAUUUGGGUGCUUGCUUCUUAUCUUACUCAUGCUUUUAAGUUGCUUAGUAUUGAAACCUAAUUUUAUAUCAAUUCAAUUGCCAUUUAAUGCUCAGCAUCACACAAGUUAAACCCUAAACCCCUGCUCAGAAGGCUUAGUAAAUUAGUUUUCAAAUCCAUGUUUUAGUAUUUUAUUGGUAUUUUCAUCCCCUCCUCUCUGAUAUAUAUACUUUAUUAUUACCUAUAUUCAUUAAAAUUAGUUAUUAUAGAAAUAUAUGUUUAUAAUAAAAAAUAAAUUAGAAUCAAAAUUAAUCAAAGGAAUGUAAGUAGAAUCCAAAAUGAUAGCUGAAAAUAUUAUUAUUUAUCCUCAUUAAAAAAAAUUAUAAAUAUAAAAAUGCUUUUCAAUUUACUAGAUAUAGAGAAUUAUUUUGUUAUAUGAGCUUUAAUAAAUUACUCAUUUUUCAUAAGAAUUAAAUAUAGCAAAAAAAAUUUUUAACAUGUUAUAAAUUAAGUACCAAUAAUGCAUAUCCGCUUGAAACUUUCUAGUUUCUCAAUUAACUUGGGUAGAGACUAAUAAAGGGUUUAGCAAUAUACUAUUAUAAUUUUUGAUACCCACAAUCACAUUCAUGACACUUGAAACUAAAAUCAAAUCCGACUUUACAGAAGUUCUCACCUUCAUUGAUAAUGAAGUGAAAUAAAGAGAUUGAUCGCAAUGGCAUGAUUUUUUUAUUUAAAAAGGUAAAUGUAAACAAAGAAGAGGAACAUUAAAUCUUGGUGGCAAUGUUUUGCCAAGGAAUGCACACAUUGGGCGGGGCCAACUCGAGCUGGGGUGUAUAUAGCAGCAUAUUGGCCUUGAGCUCCCUUAUCAUGUCCAGUUCUACAUUAACCGCUGUUGCAGUGGACCUGUCUGGAAUAAUCAACAGAGCACCACCACUUGUCUGUAGAAACAGAUACACAAAAUUAUUAAGAAAAAGAAUAAAGUAAAUAACUUCAGAAAAAAACAAGAAGGAAGCUGGCGAUGUUGUUUUGUUUACCAGAGUUCCUGGGUUUUGGCUGUUGAGAGCCGAGAUGUAAAUCGCAGGAUUGGUCCAAAGUUGAGCUGAAAGUGCAUCGGUCGUCACAGGAAAACCAUGAGAUCACAAGAGGUUGAUGCAAAUGCGAUCAAUGUCUCGUGCUUGAGAAACAAUAGGGAGAGAGAGAGAGAGAGAGAGAGAGAGAGAGAGAGAGAGGAUCAAAGAAAUGUAAAAAGAAAAAGUAAGAACGAAAUGAGGGAAGAGGGCAUCGAGCUUGCAUGCAUGCAUUCAAGAGAACGUGUGUUUUUGGAAAAAAAUCUAAUUCAAAUUCCUUACAGCCUUCGAGUAACAAUCUCUUUAUCAUAUCUCGACUUUUCUCGUAGAAAAGGUUUUUAACCAUUUGAAAAAGUCAGUUGGGGCAUUGCAGGAAUCCCAAAGAGACCACUAGCCAUUACAUUUGCUCCAUUAAGUCAAGCUUCGGUGACACAGCGAUCAAGUCGCUCACUACUCUCAUCCUCUACCUAGUGGUUUUUGCAAUAGAAACCACUUGAUCAACCACUACCCAAGCAAUUCGCUGCAAUGAAAUCAGUAGGUAGAGGGUAAAUCAUCCAGAAAAUCCAGCAGCAGCACGAGACUUGGACGCGACCAUUCUCUUGCUUCGAAACAAAGUCAGCCUUUAAAUAUAAGUGUUCCCAUCAAAAAGCCAAACAAGUCAAGGAUGGAUCACUUUAGUUACAGUGGUCAAUGUAAACAAAGGACUUAAAUCUUGGUGGUGAUGUCUCGGCCGCGGCGGGUGGGGCCAACUCGAGCCGGGGCGUAUAUGGCAGCAUAUUGGCCUUGAGCUUCCGGAUCACGUCCAGCCCUACGUUGAGCGCAGUUGCAGCGGACCUGUCCGGGAUCAUCAAGAGAGCACCACCACUUGUCUACACACACACAUCAGAAAAACGUUAAGAGAAAAGCCGAGAUAAGUUUUUUGUUUACCAGAGUUCCUGGGUUUUGGCUGUUGAGAGCCGAGAUGUAAAACGCAGGCUUGAUCCCGACGUUGAUCUCAAAGUGCAUCGUUCCCCGCGGGAAUAUCGUGAUAUCGCCCGGGUUCAAGAGGUUGAUGCGUGGUACUCCUGGAAAAUCACCCCAUAUGUUCUUUAUAAGAUCGAGAGAGAGAGAAUCUUAUUUUCCUACCAGCUGUAUCCACGAAUCCAACUUGAAGUGGCCCGCCAGAGAUCAUGGUGAGGAGCUCGGAAGCUCGAGGGUGCGUGUGUGGGAGAUUGACUCCACAGGGAACCAUGUUAAAGUGUACAUAAGUUAUCCCUUGAGACCUGCAAAGAAAACCAAGGAAAACCUCGAUUGGGAUCUCCAGAGGCAAAGAGUUAAGAAAAGCACGUGAUUCCUGGGAACAGUGUCGUGUUGAUUGCUGCGCGAACGCCACCGGGUCCAUUGCUCACGACGCCAUUCUUGAACACAUCUCGCAGCACGAAAUCGCUAAGAGCUCCCGACCCCUCGAAAUCUCGCAGCGGAUCGGGGUCGGCAGCGCUCACAAACACAUUCGCGGCGGCAGCGCCUAGGAUCAUUACCACCAGCAUCAACUUCUUGGACUCCAUCGCUCGAGAUCUCAAAAGAAGAUUGUUCUUCAGAAACUUCGAUUCAGGAAGAGGGGCGAACGAUGAUAAGUCUAAGAGUGUGGGGUUUAUAUACUGUGGCAAGUCUCAAAGUCAGAGAUUAAAAACUCUCCAAAAACACAAUUGCCAAUCUGGUUACGUUUCUAAAUCUUUUCUUUACGAAAACAAUUAAGGUAAAACUAUUUUGACCUGACCAGGUCUCACUCGCGUUCCAAAUCCUGCAUACAUACUCACAAGUUCUCGCAAACCAAUCCUUUGAUUGUUUUAGAUGGAAACUUCCACAAGAAAAAACAUGUCGUAGAGUUUUUGGUACAUACAAGGGGACCUCACACUUGUGAAAUAUGGGAAAUAUUUUCUCCUUAUUUUUGUUCGCUCGAUGUGCUGUGUCUGUCAUAAUCUAUAACUAGUGGAAGAAUUAUCGCGAAAGCAAAACAGAGAAGAAGAAAGCUACGCAAGAAUCGGGCUGAACUCCUCCACGCAAACCUGGAGAGAAACUUUAGCUUUACCUUUUCCCCAGGAUACACCGUCUUGGAUGACGCACUUCUCUUGAGUUCCAGAACAAUCAGAUUUUUCUUACGACAAGGAGACGUUGGUGAAUCAGUGAAAAUUAGACCACAGAUCAAUCUCAGCUUAGCAUCAUCCAGCUUCUCCAGCGAUGCGUCUUUCUUAGAAAAUCCAAUGACACAUCACCCGGAGAAACUCCACGACGUCGGACUUCGGAGAAGGCAUCCGCCACACCCAAACAAUCCGGCCAUGAUUCUUAAAGUGGCCUUCCUUUCCGAAUAUUCUUGUAACGAGUUUUGCAAUGGUUUUAACUCGUACCAGCGAAUUGCUUGGAGAUUUGUGCUGCCGGGUGGAUAGAGGAGCUUGAUCAGGUCACGCAACAGAAUGGUUUCUCUCGAGAAAAUCCAGAAGCAGCUUUCGACUUGGUACUCUGAAAGUCGAUACAAGCAUUCUCUGUUUCCUUUACUUUCUUUAAAUCCAGGUGAUCACUUUGCAAAGUGUGUCGAGUUCCAGCUAGUUUUGGAGCCUACAAGAGGAAACGAGCAAGAAAACUAUUGCAUAGAGUUCGCAGGAAAAGGAUCGUUGGAGAAUUUGAUUUUCUCUUUCCAGCCAUCUAUGGUUGUAGAACACCGGGAAGUCUCCGUGAAGGUUUUGCUCUAAAGUGGAAGCAACUCAGGUAAUAUAUAGUAAGAUCAAAUAAUUCUCGAAAAUAUUGUUGG